rnacentral:pre_miRNA from 1 species
CAACGGAAUCCCAAAAGCAGCUGUUUCCUCCUAGCAGCUCAGCUGCCCUUGGAUUUCGUUCCC